rnacentral:tRNA from 3 species
AAUAUAGCUCAGCUUGGUAGAGCGCUGCCUUCGGGAGGCAGAGGUCGUAGGUUCGAAUCCUGCUAUUC